rnacentral:rRNA from 1 species
AUUGAACGCUGGCGGCAGGCCUAACACAUGCAAGUCGAGCGGUAGAGAGAAGCUUGCUUCUCUUGAGAGCGGCGGACGGGUGAGUAAUGCCUAGGAAUCUGCCUGGUAGUGGGGGAUAACGUUCGGAAACGAACGCUAAUACCGCAUACGUCCUACGGGAGAAAGCAGGGGACCUUCGGGCCUUGCGCUAUCAGAUGAGCCUAGGUCGGAUUAGCUAGUUGGUGAGGUAAUGGCUCACCAAGGCGACGAUCCGUAACUGGUCUGAGAGGAUGAUCAGUCACACUGGAACUGAGACACGGUCCAGACUCCUACGGGAGGCAGCAGUGGGGAA